AGUGAACGCUGGCGGUAGGCCUAACACAUGCAAGUCGAACGGCAGCACAGUAAGAGCUUGCUCUUACGGGUGGCGAGUGGCGGACGGGUGAGGAAUACAUCGGAAUCUACUUUUUCGUGGGGGAUAACGUAGGGAAACUUACGCUAAUACCGCAUACGACCUACGGGUGAAAGCAGGGGAUCUUCGGACCUUGCGCGAUUGAAUGAGCCGAUGUCGGAUUAGCUAGUUGGCGGGGUAAAGGCCCACCAAGGCGACGAUCCGUAGCUGGUCUGAGAGGAUGAUCAGCCACACUGGAACUGAGACACGGUCCAGACUCUUACGGGAGGCAGCAGUGGGGAAUAUUGGACAAUGGGCGCAAGCCUGAUCCAGCCAUACCGCGUGGGUGAAGAAGGCCUUCGGGUUGUAAAGCCCUUUUGCUGGGAAAGAAAAGCAGCAGGUUAAUACCCCGCUGUUCUGACGGUACCCAAAGAAUAAGCACCGGCUAACUUCGUG
rnacentral:rRNA from 1 species